GAAAAAUGUCAAGGAAAUGUAUGGCAAUAAGAAUAAUGCUGCUCGUGCUUCUCAACUCAAGAGAAAUGUUUCAGGGCUCCAACAAGAAGGCAAUUCAUUUGUCCAACGUCUUGUCGAAUUAAGAAUAUGUGUAAUGAGUUAGAUGUGUAUCGCCCUCAUACCACUGAUUCUACCAUUCUGUUAAAAAGCGUAGAGGAAGACAAAAUCUUCCAACUCCUAGCUAGCCUUAGCUCUGACUAUGAAGAUCUGCGCAGCCGUAUCUUGAUAAACACUGAGCUUCCAUCAUUUUCAGGCAUUUGUGCAACAAUUCAAUGAGAAGAAACCCGUUGAAAGGUGAUGAACCUCAAAACAAAGUAUAAUAUGCCAGAAACUAUGGCAUGUGUGUCCACACAUCAAAAUUUCUGAUGUGGAAAAACUAUAAGAGCAAGAGACUGGACUUGAAGUGUACAUAUUGUGAUGUAACUAGUCAAGCAAGAGAAAAAUGUUAGGUCUUGCAUCCUGAACUGAAACCAAAGUUCCCAAAGGAGAUUAAGGGUCAUUGGAAAAAUUCACAGACUUUAACUCACAAAGCAAACCAUGUUGCUGCUUCUACUGUUUUUAAACCAUCAAUUGAGGGUAUGAUGAAUUUCACAUCCAAUCCUGUGGCUCUAUUCAAUGAAUUUGCUGUAUAUCUUCAAAAACAAAAAUAAAAAAUAAAAAAUGGAAUGGUAAUGGUAAUGGUGAACAAAUGACCAGUUUGGACCUGAAAACUCUACUGCCCUACUUGGUAAAUUCACAGGUUUUCUUGCUGAGAUCGAUGGCAUAUCAUCCCAUAACAUUCCAGGUAUUUUAGAGGCUUUCUCUACUGCUAAUCAAGUUUCCCUUUUGCAUAAUUAUUGGAGACUAGACUUAGGUGCCAC
rnacentral:lncRNA from 1 species